rnacentral:lncRNA from 1 species
CCGGACGGGGUAUGGGGACGGCCCGUUUCACCCUCAUACCGGACGGGGUAAUGAGGUUUAUGGUUUUGGCGCCCAUACCGGACGGGGUAUGGGGACGGCCCUGGAAUAUGAUUUCAAGUGUUAAGGGUUAACGGGUAGCGGGACCCCUAUGGAUCCCCAUGGAUAUUAGUGGGCUGGUAAAUGAGGAAAAUAUAUUGUGUAACGAUUGAAUUUCGAAAGGCUUGAUAAGUAUUACGUUAUACAGUUU